UGGGGAAUAUUGGACAAUGGGCGCAAGCCUGAUCCAGCAAUGCCGCGUGUGUGAAGAAGGCCUUCGGGUUGUAAAGCACUUUUAUCAGGAGCGAAACGCUGUCGGCUAAUACCCGGCGGAACUGACGGUACCUGAGGAAUAAGCACCGGCUAACUUCGUGCCAGCAGCCGCGGUAAUACGAAGGGUGCAAGCGUUAAUCGGAAUUACUGGGCGUAAAGCGUGCGUAGGCGGUUUCUUAAGUCUGCUGUGAAAUCCCCGGGCUCAACCUGGGAAUGGCAGUGGAUACUGGGAGGCUAGAGUGUGUCAGAGGGUGGUGAAUUCCCGGUGUAGCGGUGAAAUGCGUAGAGAUCGGGAGGAACAUCAGUGGCGAAGGCGGCCACCUGGGACAACACUGACGCUGAGGCACGAAAGCGUGGGGAGCAAACAGGAUUAGAUACCCUGGUAGUCCACGCCCUAAAGCGAUGCGAACUGGAUGUUGGUCUCAACUCGGAGAUCAGUGUCGAAGCUAACGCGUUAAGUUCGCCGCCUGGGGAGUACGGUCGCAAGACUGAAACUCAAAGGAAUUGACGGGGUCAUAGCUGUUUCCUG
rnacentral:rRNA from 1 species